rnacentral:rRNA from 1 species
UACGAAGGGGGCAAGCGUUUGUUCGGAAUUACUGGGCGUAAAGGGCUCGUAGGUGGCCAACUAAGUCAGACGUGAAAUCCCUCGGCUUAACCGGGGAACUACGUCUGAUACUGGAUGGCUUGAGUUUGGGAGAGGGAUGCGGAAUUCCAGGUGUAGCGGUGAAAUGCGUAGAUAUCUGGAGGAACACCGGUGGCGAAGGCGGCAUCCUGGACCAACACUGACACUGAGGAGCGAAAGCCAGGGGAGCAAACGGG